GACACCCCCCAAAAUUCCACCAUAUGCCUGAGAGUGUUGUCCAAAUGCUCCUUGAGCUCUGGCAGCCUUGGGGCAGUGAUCUGAACACAGAAUGGGGAGGUCACCAAGCCACCCGACGGGCAUUUAAUUUUGAUAAAGCUGAAUUGCUUUCGUUCCUUUCUGAUCAAGUAAGUGGUGGUAUCCACAUGAAGAGUUAAAUCCACACCUGCACAGCGCUUUAAACAGCAGCUUGGGUACAAGUAGAGCUCCACUACAAAAGGCAGCCUGGAGCAUCUCCAUCCCCAUUUUGACAAGAAGGGGCCAAGGAGUUCCUAAAGAAAUAUCAAGCAUGAAUUUUAUCACAGGAGGAGUCACAGAGCUUCCAAGAGGUCAUUUGUGUGGAGAGCUCAUUAUGAGGGCUGCCAGGAAUAAUGUACGUUUAGUUCGUGAACAAAUGCAACAGCCACUUACAGUAGAGAUCUAGGCAGAAAAUGCCCAGAAAACCUGAAUAAUCUGGGGUUUAGAUAAACACUCACUUUAUGACCAGAUGGGUCUUUAACAGAAAUCUUGGUCCUUCCCAGGGUCGCACAUACUCCUGUGGCAAAGCAUUUACUGCCUUGGGGCAACUGAGGACAACACUGGAGCAGUUGGAAGUACAUUAUUGCAGUAAAGCAAUGAAAAGAUCAAAAACAUAUGUGGAAACCAGGAAAGAUGUAAGAACAGGGUAAAAAAAGAGGAUCAACUUGGGAGAAAUCACACAGAAAAUACAUGGGUUUGCAGUUCAUUGUAACAGCUGGAACCGGAGGCACAGAUUUGGGGUACAACCACGUGUUGUACCUCUCUUAUUUUCUCAUUGGAGCUUCUGGACUUUGCUAAGUAAAGCUUUUGGGGGGCAGAAGGAUUGGUGACAUCGUGCCAGAGACUCACUCCCUCCUUUCCAAGUGAUGAGGGUGGUCUAAGGCCUGUCCCAAUGCUUUCUGCUGGAGCAGCUCCCUCACCACCACCUUCUGACCAGCGCUGACCCAGAAGCUGGUGCCAGUCCCAGACAUCCCAGGACCGUGGUGGACUGUGGAGAUCCACGGUGGAGCUGCUGCACCUGCCCCAGGGCUUGUUUUCUUCCCCCAGCGAAGCUGCCUUGCUACAGCUGUCCCACCAUGUGUGUGUAAGCGCUUCGAGAAGUAGGUCCUUGAAGGUUUCCCGAAGAAAAGGAAUUAUUUAUCCAUGACUUACACUCCUGGCGAGCACCUCGCUGCCCGAGCAGGGCAGUGUGUGUGCUCUCUCUCCCUCUGCUGCUGGAGCACUCUUAGGUGGGAUUAAUUUACUCCUCAGUGAACCAGAAAGAUGUUGGCAGAAUAACUGAUUUGAUAGCUCAGCGACUCUGUCACGCUCUUGCUAUGCAGGAGACCAAAGGUUCUCUCUGGCCUAAAAAAGCAUCCUGACAUCCUGAGGAAGGCAUUGCUGGCCCCUUAACUUCUGCCUCUGGAAGCACCACAGGGAGAAAGAGAUGAAAAAUUAAUGCCUUAUUUUUUAUCUUUCUGUGUGGGACAAGGACAAAAAUACAGGCUGAGCAAAACAGACAUUUUCAUUUGUUUGCACUGGAAAGAAACAAGGAAUGGUCUUGAUAGGAUUCAAGUUUCAUCUCAGAAUUUUAA